AGCGAACGCUGGCGGCAGGCUUAACACAUGCAAGUCGAGCGGGCACUUUCGGGUGUCAGCGGCGGACGGGUGAGUAACGCGUGGGAACGUGCCCUCUGGUUCGGAAUAACUCAGGGAAACUUGAGCUAAUACCGGAUACGCCCUUUUGGGGAAAGGCUUGCUGCCGGAGGAUCGGCCCGCGUCUGAUUAGCUAGUUGGUGAGGUAACGGCUCACCAAGGCGACGAUCAGUAGCUGGUCUGAGAGGAAGAUCAGCCACACUGGGACUGAGACACGGCCCAGACUCCUACGGGAGGCAGCAGUGGGGAAUAUUGGACAAUGGGCGCAAGCCUGAUCCAGCCAUGCCGCGUGAGUGAUCAAGGCCUUAGGGUUGUAAAGCUCUUUUAUCCGGGACGAUAAUGACGGUACCGGAGGAAUAAGCCCCGGCUAACUUCGUG
rnacentral:rRNA from 1 species